GAGGGAGAGCCCGACCAUUUUGAAUGAAUUUAGUGAGCUCACUUCCUCUCGGCUUGCUAUUUUCCCCCUCGGUCGCAGGAUUUUUUUUUUGUGUGUGUUCUCAAUCGCUUUCCAUUCGUAGGGAGCUAAGAAGGAGAGAAAGAGAGGGAGGGAGCCAUUACGAGGUUGCUAACCGACACGACCGGGAGGCUCGGCACACACUUGGGCCCGAUCUCAGCCAGACCUGCAGAAGAUUACGAGGCCGCUAGGAGCUUUUCCCCCCCGCUGCUGCAAACGCAUUUUUUAAUCCUAUUUUUAUUCCUCCUCCUCCUCCCCAAGACUGUAAACGCAGCAGACACAAUAGUAAACAAAAUGGAGAACGAAAGCAAAUAUCUCCCCGAGUUGCUGGCGGAGAAGGACAGUCUGGAUUCCUCCUUCACUCACGCCAUGAAACUGGUGUCCACAGAAAUUGAAAGGAUUCAGAAAGGCGAACCGAAGAAAGAAGACGAAGACGCUUAUCUGGACCUGUUCUCGCACAAGAACGUCAAACUGAAGGAAAGAGUCCUCAUCCCAGUCAAACAGUAUCCAAAGUUUAACUUUGUCGGGAAGAUUCUGGGACCCCAAGGAAACACGAUCAAACGGCUACAGGAAGAGACGGGAGCGAAGAUCUCUGUCCUGGGAAAAGGCUCCAUGAGGGAUAAAGUGAAGGAGGAGGAGCUGCGGAAGGGAGGGGAGCCCAAGUACGCCCACCUGUCCAUGGAGCUGCACGUCUUCAUCGAAGUGUUCGCCCCCGUGCCCGAGGCCUACCUCCGCAUGGCGCACGCCAUGGAGGAAGUCAAGAAGUUCCUCAUUCCUCAGGACAUGAUGGAUGACAUUUGUCAGGAGCAGUUCAUGGAGAUGUCCUACCUGAAUGGAGGACAGGAGCCGGGGGUCCGGGGCAGAGGAGGCCCCCCUGUCAGGGGGCGUGGCGCGCCCCCCCCUCCCACUCCAGCCGCCAGGGGUCGGGGGAUCCCACCGCGCGGAGCGGCGCCCCGCGGGGGCCCGGCGAGAGGAGCCACUGUGAGGGGCGCGCCAGCAGGGCGAGGGGUGCCCCCAGCGCAGCCUGUCCGAGGGGGCGCCCCCGCUGCCCGCAGCAGGCCGCCUGCCCCGGGCGUGCAGAGAAUGCCCCUGCCCCACCCACCUGCCCCGGAGCCCUAUGAAGAAUACGCCUAUGAAGACAGCUACGCUGAGCCCACUUAUGAAGCUUAUGAUUAUUACAGUCAACCCCAGGCAGACACAGAAUACUACGAUUAUGGCCACGGGGAGGCCCAGGACACAUACGAGCCUUACGGUCAGGAUGACUGGAAUGGAACAAGAGCGGCCCCCAAGCUGCCUUCCGCAAGAACUGUUAAAGGGCCCUACAGGGAUCACCCCUAUGGGAGAUACUGAAGGGGCCAGAUCAAGUUUGAAUAAGCACAUUGCUCACUGACAUCUGUCUCCCGUGGCCUCUGUCGCUUUAAAGAACCAGACAAAAAGGAGUUAAAAAAAUUAUCACACAAAACUAGAAGAACUGCUUAGAAUCUGGAGUACAGCCUUCACUCAGGGACGCUCAGCACAAACCCUAAAAAGAAGAGGACGCCCUUAAGCCUCUCGAAGUCUGAGAAGCGAUGCGCCUUCCUUAAGGAAGAACCCAGCCUUUGCACGGGCCAGAGAGCUGUGCCUCUGACGACUACAGCGGAGAGCCAGAAAGACAUGCAUUUGUAAAAACUCCUUGCAUACCUUCAGAGCAUGAUGGCAAGGUUGGGGGGGGAAUUGACAGCAUUGUACCUUCCCCCAGGGCACAGGGCAUUCUGCUAACUGGCCGGUCCAGGGUGUGUGAGUGGGCUUGGAAGGCUGAGUGGCUGACUGCUUGAUGCCACUCACAAGGUGACGAUGGUGAACAGUUGAAUACUUGCCUGUCAUUGUGUGGCCCGAAACUUUUGAGCUAAUUCUGGAGCAGGUUUUUAAAAAGGCUCCUGUGUCCUUACUGGCACAAGGGUGUUGGAUCUGUGCUACACACGGCCAGACAGCCAUCAAGGCUGGCCAGCUCCCCCGGACUGUGACGAAGGGCGUUGCCAGUGGCUCUGAGCCCUUCUGGUUCGAGGUACCUGCAGGCAGUAUCGCUGGCCUUACUGUCUUGACUCAAGCAGGGGAAACGAUCUCACUUUGGAACGCUUUCGUUCCUCUGCUGUGUAUUUAAUAGCCUUCAUCAGGAUAAAGUUCUUUUUGCCAGCCAAGCACUUUUUCCCUGUUUCUUCUGCAGGAGGGUAUACUUAAGAUUAAUUUCCCUGCCAGCCCGGUCCAUUUUUGUGUUUCCCUGUUUUUUGUUGCGUGGAAAUUAAUUGCUGCGAUUUUGCUUUGUUUUGAAUCGUAGGAAGGCCCUUGAAUGAAUAAAUACUGCUCAUCUGGAGCACACUGUCACACCUUUUUAGCACAAAGCAUUUGUAAAAAGGCUGCAGUUCUGUACCACGUCUGCACGCUAGUAUACAGCAGUGCCAUACAGACUAGUGAGCUACCAUGUUUUUGACAGUCUAUUUUUCAGUUGAGUCCCUUUAGACUCCUUAUUUUACAAUCAAGUUAAGCCGGUUACCUUUCGGAUGAGAAGCGAGAGAAACUGCGUAGUAUGGUGAGAAGUUUCCUGUAAGGGUUUGUCAGCUUUUCUCCAAAAAAAUAAUUCGGAGAACAAAUGUACUUCCUGCCAAUUAUACUGACAGAAUCCAUUUGUAUUGAGAGGUGGUACUGAUUGCAUUGUCUGAAAAUGGGACCCUGCAGUAUUAUAUUAACUGCAAAAUGGCUUAUUGGUACAGAUUUAAUAAGCAUUAGCUUCCAUUGAAGCUCCAUUAAACAUUUGGAAAAUGAGGCUGCAAUCCAUGGUAAGUGGAAAUGUAAUGUAAAAUCCCAAAAGCAGAAAAUGGAAAAUUCCAUUAAUUUUGCACUCCUGCAAAAAAAAAAGAAAGUUUCCUGCACCAUGAUUAAUAUAAUGCAGAGCUGCAGUGUGAGGCAUUCUGCUUUAAUACACUAAAAGCCAAAUCCGUUUAAAUGUUAUUUAUAGCAUUUGAAAGCAAUUUUGGUGCACUGAACUUCUAACCCAGUUGGUAAAUGCAUGCUGUAUGUGAGAAAUGUCAUUUUGCUCAAUCAAUGCCGUUGCCUUCAAGUUGUACGGAUAUUGUGUGGAUUUCUAUCCUGCUGAUAUCCGUUUCAUAUACAUAGAAAGGGCUGCCGUUCUGUCAGUAAGAGACAAAGCACUUCCCUCCUGUUCCUGAGGUUAACUCUUGCGCAAUCUGUCUGCCAUCUGUACCCUGAUCCUCCCAGGCUCAUCAAAUCCCAAGUGGAUCAUCCUGUUCCAUGCAGUCAUGACUGGAAGGCUUUCAUGGUGCUUAUUAUGUAGGGUGCAAAAAACAAAACAAAAACAAUAACCCAGAUUAGAUCCCACCAGCUGUUGGUGCAGAAUUCGGCUGCGUGUCUUCCAGGCAGUGUCUCUUGAGUGCUGCCUUCCGGUCUCUCAUUACUGCGAGGUUCUGCCUUGGCUUCCCCGGGAACAGUGCCUGGCCUUGAAGGUGCAUUUGAUUAAGGUUAUUGGGACCAGCAGGGUUUGCAUGGACCUGUCAGAGCUGCUGUAAGGGCUCUAUAAACUUCAAUAUACAGCCGCUCUGGAAAAGUGUCCUGAAAGACUGCAACAUCCAUGUGGACUGUUUCAUUUCUAGAAGUCAUUUUCAAUGUGUUUGUGAUAAAAGAAUUUAUAAUAAAAUUUAAUAAAGGUGUAA